GGCGGUUUACAGGCGGUCAUCGUGGUGCCAAAUAAACCACCUCCACGCACCUUUUGUGUAAACUUGACUCAUGCAACCUUGAUGAAGUUUGUUUACAACAUGAUUUUUAGGAGUUCCUUUUUCCUGUCAAUGACGUUGGCGUUGACUUUUCAAAAAAGAUAAAAAUGUUUAUUUGUAAAGACGGUCGGUUGGCCUUCAAAAUCACGUCAUACCUUCAGCACUCUGUUGUGAGUGCUUUGCUCAAGGAGCAACUGUGCCUAAGUGCUGCUGUAAUGGCUGUUGAAAGAAACAAAAGCAUUGUUUAUGGAAGGCAAUGGUGGUUAUUAUCACAGUUAUUUAUAAUUGACAUGUUUAUUUCACUUUUUACAUCAGAACCAAGUCUUAUGUUAACUUGUAUUCCGAACCGUUCGUGCCACAUUUAUAUUGUUUUUCAAUGGAAGCCGGAAUCAGAGGAUAUUGUCAUCGCAAUGAUACUAUUUUAUGCAAGACUUUUUAUCAGCACAGUGAUGAACUUGCUGAUUAUCCUGCUGGAGUAUUGGAACAUGGAUGUCCGUCCUCCUUUCUCUCCGCAGAGAGCAACUGUCUACUACAUAUUCAGAGAGCUGACAAGGCUUCUCUGUAUUCUCUUUUUCUCUUAAUCCGUGACAGUAAGAGGGAGCAUGCUGUGGUACCAUAAGAACACUCUGCACUUAAAUCCCCGAGUGGCAAGCUAAGUUCAAAGCCCUCCUCGUGGUCCAAUAAAGGGGAAGUAGCUUGCGUCUGGACGGAUCAAAGGCAAGACCCACAGAGAAAGGUCAGGUCUCAGACGACACCACACUGGGAAGCUCAGUGCCGCUCAAGCGCACCGCAAAGGUUGUUUUAUUACUGACAAUUGAUGAUACUUAAUAUGUUCUUUAGCAUAUUGGGUUCCUUAUUCAUUAUUAUACAAAAUGAAAGCAACAAAAAAACAGCAGUGUCCUGACACAAAAAUCAUACCCUUUUAUAAGAAUAAAACAAAGUAUCUGUUA
ensembl:lncRNA